rnacentral:rRNA from 1 species
CUGCCGGUCAGGUCGCUCCGCCGCUUCCGCUGCGUGAAUCGCGCGUGGGACGCCCUCAUCACCUCCCCCGCGUUCGAGGACCUCCACUCCGAUCGGUCCCGCCGCUACCGCAGAUUGUUCCUCAAGCCAACCUGCCAGAACGUCUUCUACGCUUGGAAGCUCGGUGGCCCAGUGGAGACCAUCAUGGACAACUGGAGAUUGCCGCAGGGGAAGAUCUUCCCCAUCACCAAGUCCUGCCAUGGCAUCGUCCUCCUACGGUGCCUCGACUACGGUCUGCACUACGUUUGGAACCCUUCAGCCAACGAACUCUUGGCUCUGCCGGACAGAACACCGGCCAGGGUUGCCUGGGCCGGCGGCAGAACCCACAUGAUCUACGGCAUGGGUUACUGCUCGACGACCAAGCAGUACAAAAUAGUGCGCAUGUACAAUUUUGACCGUGACCUCGGACUACACGACACGGUGUGCGAGGUCUACACCCUCGACGAGUCCACGCACUGGAGGCCCGCUGCCACACAGCCUCACUCAUGCCACCUCCGAGUCAAUGGGAGGCAGGGAGCCGUUCUCUGCAACGGCAAUCUGCAUUUCGUCCACACGCAUGGUCUGGACCUCCUCACCGUUUUCAAUAUCCACGCCGAGACGUUCAGCACGAUGGUGCUGCCUCCGGAGAUGAGAUCAUACUCGCCGGACUUCAUGCUAACUGAGCUGGGCGGUUUCCUAUGUGUCUACCACGCAAAACGCAGGGACCAUCCGGAGUUUGCCGACCCUUACGACAUCUGGCUGCUAAGAGACUACGAGGCAGGGCAAUGGGAAAGACUGCGGUGCAUCAACUGGGGGAGCAUGGGAGAAGCGGAGAUCGCCCCGCUCAAGUCCUCCUGUAUCGCCCCGCUUGACAUGUACUAUGACCAUGGCGCUCAGAAGAAGAAGAUCCUGUUUGGCACGAGCGCAUGCAAGGUGUUCGUGGUGGACCCUGACACCGGCGUCCCGGAAGUUAUAUUCUCGCCGGAGGACACGAUCAUGGGAGAUCAGGGCAACUGGGACAGCGAAUUCCCCGCCAUCGGGUUGUUUGAGGAGCGCCUCGCGUCCGUGGGCCGCACCAACGAGGAGAUCAUCUUCACUUCGCCAUGGGCACGAGCCGCGUCCUCGGUGCUCAUGUACCUGCCAGCACGCACGGUUGGGCGCUUGAACCAGGUGUGCACGGGUUGGCGUGCUAUGAUAAAGGCCGACUGCUUCAUCGGUGCACAUUUGUACCAUGCAAACCUUGAUAAAAUUCCCCACAUUAUGUUCACAGAUGGAACGCCCUUCAGGUUCAAAGCCCUGGAGGAUUUCAUCAACACAUCAGACGCACUACCACCUUUGAUUGACGAGGGCUCACGAGUGGUUUACUCCAAGCCGUGCAAUGGGUUGAACGCAGGGAGCUGGGCCAAGUAUGACUUCGUGUGCAACCCAUUGACAAAGUAUUACCGAGCCAUAAACUUGGGCAAUGGUAAGAAUGCUGCAUCCUGUUCCAGUGACAUCCAGAGAACACCUUGCGUCGCCCUUGGGUAUGCACCCAAUAUAGGAAUGCAUGUCCUGGUGAGCCUUGCGUAUAAGGAAAAAAACCGGACAUCGAGGGACUACAAACUCGAGUGCAAGAUCCAGUUGAUCGGACGGCGUGAUUGGGUACAGAUAGAUCCUCCUUCAAGGCCUAUGGCCGAUGUGCCGCCGGUCUAUGCAAGCGGCAAGCUCUAUUGGAUUGUAGACCCCGAGUUUGGCCCGACAUCGGCUGGCAGCGAGAUCAUAAUGCUUGAUUUUAACACUUUAGAAUUUCAUGUCUUGCCAGGGCCACCUUGCGGCAAAUACAUAUCCAUCACAGAGCUCCAAGGAGAGGUAUGUGUGACGUGCUCGAGACGAAGCACCAACACCAUAGAGAUAUGGGACAUGGAUGGCAAUGGCAUGUGGUCCAUGCGACUUUGCAUAGAGCUAGCGAGUUUCUUUCCGGAGUACUCGUCGGAGAAUACCACGCUGCACUACCAGAAAUUAUCUAUGCUGCUGGCAGUCAAUCCCAAGGAUGGAAGAAUCUUACUCAGCACCGGGAGAUCAUUGGGCUACUAUGCCUCCAAGACGGUUGAGCUGGAGACAAUUUACCGUCUGGAGUCGAGCAUCCAAGGAAAGAAGUUUGUCCCUGUUUUGGCCAUGGACAGCUUAGUUCAACCGUGCGAU